UUCCGUUUAUGUUGUUCCGUUGUUUGCUAUUUUGACAACUUGAAAAGUUUUAUCGGCAGUUUGCGUGUUAUUACUGUGAAGUGUUUGGCCAAACCGCCGCUACCACUUUUGAAAGGAUGCCACCCAAAAAUCCAAAAAUUCGCUCGAACGCAGCACAAAUUAGAUUGCUCGUUGAAUACAUGUCACAGCACACCCGGUUCGCCAACCGGGAAUUUGACGGGCCUCUAAGGACCCCAGAGGUACGAGGCGCAAUGGGAGGCCCUUGCACAGGCCUUAAGGGAGCACGGGCCCAAUAAGUCAGUGCAGGCAUGGAAAGUGGUAAGUAAAUAUGCUUCCCAUAGUUAAGAUUUCCAUCACUUAGUCCGCAUAGAAGUCUUCCUAAACAAGACACUUUUUUAUAAUUAUAUAAUAUUGAAUGAAAUUACAGUGCAAUCUGUGCAUAGUAAUAAAAUGAAGUAUAAUAACUAAUAAAAUUAACAUCUUAAUGAUUACUGAGGUCAUGAUAAUGCAGGUCAAAGAGUCAGUUGCUUAUUAUAAUGUUUUCUAAAAAAGGUAUUUAAUAUGUAUAGUUUUGCUGUAGUGACCCACUAGGCUAAACCGGUCGUCGAACAUUUGAUUUGAUUUUAAUUUCUUAAUAAUAUUUAUGAAGUGAGUAAUCUAAGCUUUCUUAUUUCUCUUUGCUUAAACUAAGACCAUGAAGAGUUUAUUGUGUCUUGUUUAUUGUAUCUGUUGAGUUAAUGUCAGGCUAAGUAGUUUCUAAAAGUACUUUGCGAUACAAGUGCAAAAAGUAGGAAAUUACCUUUUUGCAUGUAUAUUGUACAUACAACGUCUUACAGUACAUAUGGCACUUUUCAAUAUAUGCAUGUAUAGUGCUAGUUACUGCACUAGGGCGGUAAAGUAGCACAAUAUGUAUUGCAAUAGUACAUUACGAUACAAGUGCGAAAAAUAGUUAAUUUAUUUAUUUAAUUAAACCUUUGGGAAACAAACAGGCAAAAACAACACACAUAGUUAAUCAGAUUACACAUCCACAAGCCAAACAGUUUCCACUAAUGAGUAAUAACAAUUAUGUUGCUCAGAAAUUAACAUUAAUAUCAAAACAUGCAAAACUCAAAUAACUCAAACUGUUGAAAACAAUAUUAACAAAUUGGCAAGUAUGCUGAAAUAUAGUAACUAAUCAAUAUUAUUAUUAGCUGUACAUUUUAUUACAGAAACAAACUGUUGUAAUGAUAAAUGGAAUAUAUCAAUAUCAGAAAAAAUUUCAUUAUAAGUUCUACACGCUCUAGCUAAGAACUUAUUUCUUGCAUAUGUAGUACGACCAAAGUUAAUUGCAAAUAGGUUUGUGGAGCGAGUUCGCCGAUCAGGACAUCGAAUUGAAAUUUUAGACAAAAGAUUGGGAGAAUCAAUAAGGCCAUGUAUGAUUUUGAACAAAAAUAUCUGAUCUCGAAUUUCUCUACGGGGUUGAAGAGAGAAAUUGUCAGGGCAAAAAGAUUUAAAUUUAUAUUAAAUUUCAUUGUUCUGAUAAAUUUGUUCUGAAUUUUUUGAAUUGUGUUAAUGUGAACAUUGAAAUGAGGAUUCCAGACUGUAGUAGCGUAUUCUAAGUUGGACCUAACAAAUGCGUUAAAGAGAAGUUGCAGAGUCUUAGGGUUUGUAAAAUCCCUGCUUUGUCGGAAAAUGAAUCCCAACAUUCUGUAUGCUUUUGCUGAAAUUUUGUCAAUAUGUGAAAUAAAUUGUAGUUCGCUAUCAAGAUUUAACCCCAGGUCCUUCACUUCAGACAAAACCCUUAAAUUUUUGUUGUUUAAUGAAUAAUUAUACUCUAUCUUAUUGCGUUUUCUUGUAAAUGUAAUGGCACAGCAUUUUUCGACAUUCAAGUACAGUUCAUUCAUAGAACAAUAUAAACUCAGUCUAUCAAGAUCAGCUUGAAGUUUCAUACAAUCAUCACUUGAUUUAAUAAUGGUGUAUAUUUUAGUAUCGGCAUAUAAUAACAAGUCAGAAAAUUUGAAACGAGUGGCGAUAAAUUAAAACACGACUGAAGGGAGUGUUUUAAAUUGACACGAGUUGCGAAUUACCUAUUCGCACAUGUAUCGUACAACGUUUUACAGUACAUAAGGUGGGCACCUGCUCCCCGCUGGCGACACCCUUGCAGAAGCUAGCAUUUUCAGAUAUAUUUACUUUUUAAGUUUUUGGUUUGGUUUAACCGGAAUUAUUUUUACCCGACUAUGAGAAUGGGAAGGGUUAUGAUUUUAGCAGUCUACGUAUGGAUGCCGUAUAUAUGCCGGUAUGUUUUUGUUGUGUAUAAAUUACUAAUCAAUUUUGGUGAAUGAGGUGUUUAUAGGUUCAUUUUUAUGGGGUGACAUAGACUACAUAAUAAUAUUUAACUGACUUUGGACAAGGAAGAGGUGCUAUAGUUAAGAAAAAAAUCAUAGUCGGGUAAAAGUUUUUACAAUCUUUUGCUUGUUUUCAUUCUUAUAACAAAUAUUUUAAACUUGCAUGUGCUCAUUGCCUCAGAUUGACGACUACGUUGAGUUUUCGGGUGCUGGGAACAGUGUGGCUGGCAGCACGUUUUCUGCCACUGCUGAAAAUCUCGUUGUUGUUCCAACAACCGCCACCGUUACUGCGGCCUUGCUCAGCGAACAACCCCACUUCUCCACCUCUCAUUUGUCCUCGUCUCCCUCUCCUUCUGCCAGCCCUAUACGCUCCACGCAUUCAGUACUGCCCACAAGUCCUGGACUACCCGAACGUCCCUCUCUUGCCGCCCUUUCCGCCCGCUAUGCCCGUCCCGCCCUUCUCGCUCGUUCCGCAAUAACCGCCCAACCCGCACGUCUUGUCCUGCCUGCACGUCAAGUACACAGCUCUGUGUACGUGGAUCCGCGCCCUGCACGCGUAUCCACGUACACAGAGCUGUGUACUUGCCCCGCAACCGCACGACGGAACCGGCACCUUCGACAGCACAAUUUAAUCAUCUGCAGCAUGAGCAUGAUAAUAUUUUAAGAGUAAUUAAUUAAUUUAUGAACUAAUAAUUCUGUUUUAAGAUCAGGUUGAGUACGAGAAACAUUGUUUAUUUAACUUGGGACAAGAAAAACAGUAACUUGGCAGUAAGAAUGCAUACAUAAAGCCUGUAAGCUCCAUACUUGACGUACCAUUCCCUACAAGUGUUUCUCUUGCCUCCAUAUUUCGCUUACCCCAUCUGACCUUAUUUGUAUUGAUAAAACAUACAAAUAAUAAAUAUAUAUAUACGCGAGCAAUCGCAAAAUCUACAUUUCGGGAUUUCUCGUAUCGUACAGUGCCGUUUAAAUAAAAUAACACCACCAACUACCCAUAAGAGGGUUAUUAUGAAACUUAUAAUUAACAUGCAUUUUAUUGAAAGGCUGGAAUUUUAUUUAUCUUGAAAUCUUGACCAUGGUCAUAUGUUUGACUGGACGGUACACGGCAAUGUUAUUAUUACUAAUAUAUUUCAUAACACUAGACUUAUUCAAUCCUAAGUAACCUAUUAGCUUCUCAUUCGUGUGCGGUAUAUAUCAGCGUUUGGUAGUAUCAUAAUAGUCAAAUCUGGUGUUGGUUGUUGUUAAUAGUUAAAUGUUCAUAAAAUUUGACAACUUAUUAUAGUUAUAUUUUGUGUGAGUCAGUUAUCAUAACAGAAAUAAGAUAUAAAGCUGUUAAUACCGUAAAUUGUGUAUGGAUAUGUUUGACUCAAAUUCUGUAUUCCCACAAUAAGUAGGUAUACGGGGAGCCCGUAAGAAAUCAGUGGUAUAUGAAGGCUUUCUUGUGCAACUUUAGUAUGAGCUGGAACAAGUAAAUGUAGUUAUGUAGAACAGAUAAUCUCCAUUGUGGUAGAUGGCGCUAUUUAUUAUGUGCUCUGUGAUACCACUUAGUUUAAACUUGCUAUAACAUAUUUUAUGUUGACAGGAUAUCCUGAACGAACUGAAAUUUUUUAAUGAGGCGCAGAAACAAAAAUGGAGUGUUUUGAAGGAGGGGCACGACUUGUUGGCGAAUCGUAUUAACACAUUGGAGGACACCGAGAUUAUUGAGAACUUGGAAGACACAGUUAUAAUGGAAGAGGAAGACGUCUGAGCUAAGCGCUGUCCUCGCACCCUCCGUCUAGUUUACGUUUGCGGCCAUAUCAAAAAUACACACCGUAUGUUUAUUAGGGUUCCGUACCAAAAAGGUACAAAAGGAACCCUUAUGGUGCUAUUGCUAAAUAUCUCGAGAAGUACUUAAGCUAUCGAUGUGAAAUUUGGAAUAGUAAUGAAUAACGCUGACCCAAACAUAUUGGAUGUGUAUUUAUUUUAUUUUAUUUGUAAGUAUUAAUAAUGGAAAAUUCCCAAUAUGAAGAGGGGGUAAAAUUGCAAAGUCUAGUUAAAUAGGUCAAGUGGGGUAUCAUUUGAAAGAGCUCAAAUUGAAAAUUACAAAACAAUUUUUUAUUUUCAUUGUGAAAAAAAAAUUUACGUAUGAAGGAAAAUGUGAAAAUAAUACCAUCCCCCCCCCCCUCUCUCAUCUCCGAAGUUUAAGAAUAAAAAUUGUUUUUUUUACAUUGGUCAAGUCUUUCAUGAGAAAAUUUGAAGUUUGUACGGAACCCUCGGUGUGCGAGGUAAACGAACUCGCACUUGACCGGUUAUUCUUAUUGCCCAUAAGGCCCGUCCUUAGAUAUAUGUCAAUGAUUACGGUGAUCUCGAAAAUGGCUCAAAUGAUUUCAAUUAAAUUUGCUAUAUGGGGGUUUUCGGGGCGUUUUUGAGUUUUUACCUAUUUGUUUUCCGAGCAAAAGGAAUUAAAGUUUACUGAUUUUGAAAA